UGGGGACUUAUGACACCGGAUUCCAUGACAAGCUCUCAUGGUCUAUGUCGGUUAAAUGCUUACUUCCCAUCAUGUGAGAUUUCAUUAUGGUUUCUUGAUAGGUUCUACAAAGUGUAGGUGGUAGUAUGGGAUGCUACCUAUACAUUGCACGAGUAGGCUUGGAAAGGGUCAUAGUGAGUUUCUCUAAAUCCUAAUGUAUGUGAAAUAAAUGUGCCCUAAAUGGUUUCCUAAAGAAUGUUGGCUCUCAAAUGCUUAAUAUGAGAUGCAUGCUAUACUUGGGUUAUAUUAUGAGUUAUUUUCCCUUGUCAUGUCUUAAUUAAUGAUAUACCUCUU
rnacentral:lncRNA from 1 species